CUCAACCAUUCCAUUACCAAAAUUAAAUGUAAAACUACAAGCAUCAAGUUUCGAUAUAGAAAUUAAAUUCCUUCUCAUUUGCGAUACAUAAACUGUAUUUUUCAAAACAAGAUAAAAAACCAGACUCUAAAGUCAACUUUACUACUCCUAUGAAUUCAACCUUCACUUGAACUCCAUUUGCAACUCUCAAGUUUACUUCAUUCUCACUUGGCCUCCAUUUGCUUGUGAACCCCUGCAAGGAAUUCGCAAUAUGAAUACUAGCUCCCGAGUCUAACCACCAAGAAUUCAAAGGCACAUCUACUAAAAAAGGCUCAAAACAAACUAAGGCCAAGGGAAUACCUGAAGAACUCUUCUUCUUUUCCAACCAAGUCUUGAACUUAAAAUAGUCUUUCUGCUAGUGACCCUUCUUUUUACAAAACUUGCAUUGAUCAUUUUUCUUUAUAACUCCUUUGGGAUCACUAAAAUUUUUAUUCUGCUAAUUUCGGUGGGACUUAUUACCCUUACGAAACUUAGGUUUAUGGUUAUAAGAAAGCCCCUUACUUUGCGAUGGCUGAAAAGCUAAUUGUACGGUUUCAACAGUUUCACGGCGCAUCCUAUACUCUUCUUGGGCACACACUGCUAUGAGGUCAUUCAAAUUUCAUUUAUCCCGUUGAGCAUUGUAAGCAACCUUAAGCUGAUUAAACUUGCUAGAAAUGCUAUUCAAAAUAUGAUAGACCAGGAAAGGCUUCGCAAUGGGAAUGUCAAGAGCCUUUAGCUUAGAUGAUAUAUUUAUCAUUUUUAUGACAUGCUCCCUAACACCACUUGUGCCAUCAUAUUUCAUGCUCAUCAAUUUAUCUAUCAGAUCCCUAGUUUCGGCUUUAUCAGACACAAUAAUUUUUUCUCCUAUGGCACCUAUAAAACUUUUGGCAUUUUAAUUAUCGGGGAUGACACCUAGAAUGGAAUCAGAUAUUGAUCGCUUAAUGAUUUUCAAACGGAGUUUGUUAACCCUUUCUCACUUUUCAUGCUUGGCUACAUAUUCAACGGUACUCUUAUCUGUGGGUUUCUCAAGCUUUUUCUCCAUUUCAAAAUCCAAGCCCAAAAGACCAAGUGCUAUUUCUACGUCUCGUUUCCAUCUCACAUAGUUAUUCCUAGUCAAAGUUUCAAUAACAGACAAUUGAUUUGAAAGAGAUGAGACAUUAUAAACUGUGGGAACAUAAAAUAUCACACUCAAUAUCAUCCAAACGUAAUGCAUGCAAUCAAAUGGAUGAUGUAAUAUCCAACUAAUUAAUAUGGGCUAUUAAUUAGAUAAUCCGUAAUUUAAAUCGAAACAUAUGAAUUUUAUUACUGUAAGAGCCUCGGUGCAUCAUCAUAAAGUCACAUUUAGGUCGACAAUACAACAUGUUAUAAGGUACUCUAAAACACAUCAUGUAGCCAGUUAACAAAAUUACACUGAUUUUCGAAGCACUAACACCUUUGGGCAGAAGGAAAUUUCUAAACAAAAAUAGGCUCGUUAAUUGUCUUAUGCCAUUUUCCAAAAAUUUUACAUAUAAUAACACCUUUGGGCAAGAUAUUACAUCCAAUAAAUCAAAACUGUUGCGAAAAAAUAUAUUUUUUUUUUAUUGUAGAGAAAACCGAACAAAGAAUGAUGAGUGUGCCACUUUGGCAGUUACCACCCAUUUUUAUUUCAAAAUAUUUCUCUCAUAGUGGAAAAAACAAGAAUCGUCUCAAAACCCAUGAAAAAUUU
rnacentral:lncRNA from 1 species